UCACACUAUGUUAUUUGAAGUACAUGAUUGGAUUAAACUAUCCAAUCUCAAUCCCCUAUCAACAGACAUCCAGUUAGUGAAUUGAUUGAAGAGUCAGUUUGAAAGAGCACACAGAUGAAACUGCGGCUGGAAAAAUGUCAAAGAAGCGUGCAUGUACAUUUAAUGAGGAUCUUCAAAAAGAGUUUAUAUUUCUAAAAAAGGAGUCACAGACAGAGCCUAGUAAAGUGAGGUGUGAGAUUUGUGGAGCUCAAUUUUCCAUCACCCAUGGAGGCUGCACCAAUAUUGCACAGCAUGUUCAUACAAAAAAGCAUGUGGAUGCUGCUAAAAGUAAGUCUGCCACACCAAGUGUUAGCAAUUUUUUUUUUUAUCUGACAAGGUGCAUGCAAGUGAAGGGCUUUUUUGCUUAUCAUUCUGUUGUGCAUGGCCACAGCUUUGCACAUUCAUGACCUGGGAAAAGUCUUGCAGGCCAGGCAGGAGGAAUCAUUCAUACCCUUUGACAUUAAAAAGCAGUUGGAUGCCCUGGUUGAAGCUGGUGGCAUGCGAGCAGAUUAUUUAUUUUGUGCAGUGAGAAACUUUUAUUCAGCAUCAGUGGAUUACCUCCAAAAUUGGAGCUGCUCAUUAGAGAACACAGAAAAACUUGAGUGGGCCCUACUGAGAGACAUUCCAGAGUGGUAAGACUUUCAGAGCAGCCUCGAACUAAUCCAGAAUCCCUGUUCUCAGUUUGACUGAUGAAACCACACUCUUUGAUGAGUGGGCUUGCGCAAAAAACGUUGUCACUCGUCACAUCACUGAGUAGAACAUGAACAAGACGGCUGUGUCUGAGAGAUGGACAGAUGUUUUUCAUGAGCUGGAGAGCAAGACCAGAAGUCUUAGCCAAGGUUGUGGAAUUUGUUUUAUGCCUGCCUGGGACAUCUGCAUCUGUGGAGCGUGUGUUCUCAUUAAUGAACACAGCAUGGACACCGGGUAAAUCACCGGGUAAAUCUCAACAAUCAUGAAGGCAAGUAAGUCUUAAUUUUGGACUGGACUGCUCUGCAUUUUAUGAUAAACUCUUGAAAGACAAGCGCACACUGAGAAAAAUUGCUGGCAGCAAAAAGUACAAGGUGACAAAAGUAACAGAUGCGGAUGCACCCUCUACUUCGCAUUGAUCUGCACCUAGUGAACGGACCUCCACGAACAGUGCAGAGACUUCAUAGAGCACGUGGAAAUGACACCAAGGCAAUUAAACAAAGACCCUCCCCUCGAAAUCCGAACACAAGUGCUCAAAGGAGAUCCAUUUAAGCGACCAGGUGUAAACAGUGAUGUGUUUCACCUGACCACGUGGGAUCCAAUCACCCAAGACGCAUCUUAAUACCAGGCAUCUUCCAUCCCAGGGCUUAGUGACCUCUUUUCUCUCUUUCCUGGUUGGAGAUUGGGAACGCAACAGGGGGCACAGGAUCUCCCGGAAUACCAAUUGGCCGCACUGGAGGGGAUGGAGCUCAGGAGCUUCAUUAUAGAUUUUGUUUGAAACAUGUGUGAAGGUGAAUGUGCCUCUGUAUGUGUCUAGCAAAUAGAUUGAUUGAACAGUUAACAAGACAACCAGCUGAUUCAGGCAAUCAAUCAAUGAAUCAAUCACUCACUCUGUCUGUCUGUUUAAAAAGCUGUUUUGUCUUAGAUACAUAUUUUAUGACACUGUUGAUGUUGAUGAUCAUGGAAAAACUAGCCAAAAUCAAUUCCAAUAUACUUUGACGAAACAGUCCAUAUCUUUUGUCCUUCGAAUAUUGUUAAAUCAGUGACACAAGGUGAAAACAUUACUCUAGCACAGGGGUCAGCAACCUUUUUGACAUGGAGUGCCAUUUUUUGGCUGCCCUGUUUCUUGUACAAUGCUAUGUUAUGACAUCUUAACACUUUUACUACAGUGCAUGUUGUGUAAUGUUAUCAAUUUUGUUUAAUAAAUUGCACUUGGGUCCAUCA